rnacentral:rRNA from 1 species
UUCGCAAUGCCCGAAAGGGUGACGAAGCGACGCCGCGUGCGGGAAGAAGGCCUUCGGGUUGUAAACCGCUGUCGGGAGUUAGGAAAUGCAAGGAUGUUAAUAGCAUUCUUGCUUGACUAAGGCUCCGGAGGAAGCCACGGCUAACUCUGUGCCAGCAGCCGCGGUAAUACAGAGGCGGCAAGCGUUGUUCGGAAUUAUUGGGCGUAAAGAGCACGUAGGCGGCUGUGUAAGUCGGUUGUGAAAGCCUUCCGCUUAACGGAAGAACGGCAUCCGAUACUGCAUAGCUUGAGUGCGGGAGGGGAGAGUGGAACUUCUGGUGGAGCGGUGAAAUGCGUAGAUAUCAGAAGGAACGCCGGCGGCGAAAGCGACUCUCUGGUCCGAAACUGACGCUGAGUGUGCGAAAGCUAGGGGAGCAAACGGGAUUAGAUACCCCGGUAGUCCUAGCCGUAAACGAUGGGCACUAAGUAGAGGGGUUUUA